AGCGAACGCUGGCGGCAGGCUUAACACAUGCAAGUCGAGCGGACCUUUCGGGGUCAGCGGCGGACGGGUGAGUAACGCGUGGGAACGUGCCUUCCGGUUCGGAAUAACCCUGGGAAACUAGGGCUAAUACCGGAUACGCCCUUAUGGGGAAAGGUUUACUGCCGGAAGAUCGGCCCGCGUCUGAUUAGCUAGUUGGUGGGGUAACGGCCUACCAAGGCGACGAUCAGUAGCUGGUCUGAGAGGAUGGUCAGCCACACUGGGACUGAGACACGGCCCAGACUCCUACGGGAGGCAGUAGUGGGGAAUAUUGGACAAUGGGCGCAAGCCUGAUCCAGCCAUGCCGCGUGAGUGAUGAAGGCCUUAGGGUUGUAAAGCUCUUUUAUCCGGGACGAUAAUGACGGUACCGGAGGAAUAAGCCCCGGCUAACUUCGUG
rnacentral:rRNA from 1 species